CUUAGUGAUGUUGGAGAGGGAUUGCCCGAGGGAGGAGAAAGACGAAAACAGAGGCUGCAGGGGGGUGGAGAAAGGGGUGAAACGGGACAGGGAAGAGGAGGACGACAGAAACAGAAGGGACAGAGCAGAGGACGGAGAGGACGACUAGAAGGAUUUCCCAGUGGUGGGAACGAGCAAGUCAAUUUCUAACCCUCACGGCUGCGGAGAAAACCUUGAAAAUGUGACUAGUGCGUAACCCCGAAGGCUGAAGACCCAAAAGGCAAACGAACGGCACGUCCACAGCAUUGUUAUUUGAAGCCAAUCUCAAUAUUUUGGGGAGCUGGACUCAUGAGGUUUGAACGUUCGGGGUUGGCCAUCCCGUGGAUUUCGAGCGCUACUGAGUCUUCUUGCCAAUUUUUAGGAUUUUCCAGCCACGAUUUCCUAGGUGGAUCAGUAUUUCCCUGUGUUGCCGCGCGAAAAGUCCCCGCAAAGUGAAAUUAAAUACACAGCAGGUGAGGAAAUAGCAGCUGUACAAAUCCACAGAGCUGCGUCCCAGACGGCAGGACUCAUGUGAGACCGGCCUCUCUCUUCCUGCUGUGCAGAACGGGAGAGCUCGCUUUCCUUCAAUUAAGGCAUUAAAAUCCACCUCCCUAA